rnacentral:rRNA from 1 species
GUGUCAGCAGCCGCGGUAAGACGAACCGUGCAAACGUUACUCGGAUUCACUGGGCUUAAAGGGCGCGUAGGCGGCUCGCCAAGUCUGGGGUGAAAUCUUUCGGCUCAACCGGAAAAUUGCCUGGGAUACUGGCGGGCUCGAGCGAGAUAGGGGUCACGGGAACUUCCAGUGGAGCGGUGAAAUGCGUUGAUAUUGGAAGGAACGCCGGUGGCGAAAGCGCGUGACUGGAUCUCUUCUGACGCUGAGGCGCGAAAGCUAGGGGAGCAAACGGGAUUAGAAACCCGCGUAGUCC